GUAUCAACUCUAUCAGAUCCACUCUAUCAGAUCAACUCUAUCAGAUCAACUCUAUCAGAUCAAUGCUGUUGUAUCAACUCUAUCAGAUCAACUCUAUCAGAUCAACUCUAUCGGAUCAACUCUAUUGGAUCAACUCUAUCAGAUCAACACUAUCGGAUCAAUGCUGUCGUAUCAACUCUAUCAGAUCAACUCUAUUGGAUCAACUCUAUCAGAUCAACACUAUUGUAUUUAGGUUGCACGUUUCCAGGUGCUCAACAAGCUUUACAUUGUUUUGGAUGAAACCAGCCACAUGGGUGAUGCCAAAGCCAUUUAGUGUCUGUCCAACUGCCUGUCUUUGUCUACCUGCAGGUGCAGUAGGAGGGAGGGAGGCUGACUGGAAGUCCAACUGUCCCAUCAGGGGCUUUCCCAACCAGUUAGUCCGCUCUAUAUCCAGCGACAGUAUUGUAACAGAUAAAAUAUGUUCCAUUGGGAUUACAAUUACUAAAUACUCGAAUUCAGAGAGACUUACAGGAGCAAUUAGGGUUAAGAGCCCUUGGGCACAAUUUCUUUCUUUAUUGUUUAUUUAUUUCACCUUUAUUUAACCAGGUAGGCCAGUUGAGAACAAGUUCUCAUUUACAACUGCAACCUGACAGAAACAACAACACAGAGUUACACAUGGAAUAAACAAACGUACAGUCAAUAACACAAAAAGAAGGUCUAUAUACAGUGUGUGCAAAUGGCAUGAGGAGGUAUGGUAAUAAAUAGGCCAUAGUAGCAAAGUAAAUACAAUUUAGCAGAUUAACACUGCAGUGAUAGAUGAGCAGAUGAUGGUGUGUAAGUAGAGAUACUGGUGUGUAAAUGAGCAGAAAAGUAAAUACAAACAACAUGGGGAUGAGGUAGGUAGAUUGGGUGGGCUAUUUACAGAUGGGCUAUGUACAGCUGCAGCGAUCGGUUAGCUGCUCAGAUAGCUGAUGUUUAAAGAUAGUGAGGGAAAUGUAAGUCUCCAGCUUCAGCGAUUUUUUGCAAUUCGUUCCAGUCACUGGCAGCAGAGAACUGGAAGGAAAGGCGGCCAAAGGAGGUGUUGGCUUUGGGGAUGACCAGUAAGAUAUACCUGCUGGAGCGCGU
ensembl:lncRNA